GAUGAACGCUGGCGGCGUGCCUAAUACAUGCAAGUCGAACGAACAGAUGAGGAGCUUGCUCCUCUGACGUUAGCGGCGGACGGGUGAGUAACACGUGGAUAACCUACCUAUAAGACUGGGAUAACUUCGGGAAACCGGAGCUAAUACCGGAUAAUAUAUUGAACCGCAUGGUUCAAUAGUGAAAGACGGUUUUGCUGUCACUUAUAGAUGGAUCCGCGCCGCAUUAGCUAGUUGGUAAGGUAACGGCUUACCAAGGCAACGAUGCGUAGCCGACCUGAGAGGGUGAUCGGCCACACUGGAACUGAGACACGGUCCAGACUCCUACGGGAGGCAGCAGUAGGGAAUCUUCCGCAAUGGGCGAAAGCCUGACGGAGCAACGCCGCGUGAGUGAUGAAGGUCUUCGGAUCGUAAAACUCUGUUAUUAGGGAAGAACAAAUGUGUAAGUAACUAUGCACGUCUUGACGGUACCUAAUCAGAAAGCCACGGCUAACGACG
rnacentral:rRNA from 1 species